AUUGAACGCUGGCGGCAUGCUUUACACAUGCGAGUCGAGCGGCAGCGCGGGCUUCGGCCUGGCGGCGAGUGGCGAACGGGUGAGUAAUGCAUCGGAACGUGCCCAGUAGUGGGGGAUAGCCCGGCGAAAGCCGGAUUAAUACCGCAUACGACCUGAGGGUGAAAGCGGGGGACCGAAAGGCCUCGCGCUAUUGGAGCGGCCGAUGUCGGAUUAGCUAGUUGGUGGGGUAAAGGCUUACCAAGGCGACGAUCCGUAGCUGGUCUGAGAGGACGACCAGCCACACUGGGACUGAGACGCGGCCCAGACUCCUACGGGAGGCAGCAGUGGGGAAUUUUGGACAAUGGGGGCAACCCUGAUCCAGCCAUGCCGCGUGCGGGAAGAAGGCCUUCGGGUUGUAAACCGCUUUUGUUCGGGAAGAAAUCCUCUGGGCUAAUACCCCGGGGGGAUGACGGUACCGGAAGAAUAAGCACCGGCUAACUACGUG
rnacentral:rRNA from 1 species